AUUUAUUCUGUACAGAAUAUUUCAUAUAGUGUAGAACAUAUAUACACUAUAAGAAACUUGAGGAUAAUUUAGAUUUACAAUUAUUCUCAACUCUUUGCACAGUGUCUGUUGCAGAGCAGCACCUCAACCAAUAUUGUUAAUUAAUUAAUGCAUAAAUGAGGGAAUCAAUAUUUUAAAUAAUCUGAGACCAGUAAUUAUCCCUAUGCUAGCUUUUGCCUAUUACCCAUCAUUCCCUUCAGCACAUUGGCACCAACUUGACAAAGUGCAAAUUGACCUAAUAUUGAACAUGGAAAAGCAGUGAAGAUAUAUUGAAAGAUAAAUUUGACUUCAACAACAAAGCAUGCAUUUGAAUUCCCCACUUUUGGAUUUCCAGGUAUCUGUCCUUCCAUUAGCCCCAGCUAUAAGAGGGUUCUACUCAAGAUUUACUGCAGGUUCCCUGCCUUCUCGUAGUCCUAACAUGAACCCAAGACAUUCCACAGAGCACACAAAGGAUCCUGAGCUAUCCCAGUGUCUGGGCUGGAAAGAGAAGAGGCUUCUGCUACCUUAUCACACUGAAGAGUAUUAUACAGAAGAUGAUUCAAGGAGCAUUUAGCUUCAUAACAUCCAAGGAUCACUUCAGUUCUAAGUAUGCUUUCCCUGAGAGUGGAAUUCUUGGUUGCCAUUACAUCAAACUGAGAGGAAUCCACUAUCUUCUUGGUUGCCAUUACAUCAGAUUGAGAAGAAUCCACUAUCUUCUUGGUUGCCAUUACGUCAGAUUGAGAAGAACCCACUAUCUUCUUGGUUGCCAUUACAUCAGAUUGAGAAGAACCCACUAUCUUCUUGGUUGCCAUUACAUCAGAUUGAGAAGAACCCACUAUCUUCUUGGUUGCCAUUACAUCAGAUUGAGAAGAACCCACUAUCUUCUUGGUUGCCAUUACAUCAGAUUGAGAAGAACCCACUAUCUUCUUGGUUGCCAUUACAUCAGAUUGAGAAGAACCCACUAUCUUCUUGGUUGCCAUUACAUCAGAUUGAGAAGAACCCACUAUCUUCUUGGUUGCCAUUACAUCAAAUUGAGAAUAAUCCACUAUCUUCUGGCUUCUAUUGCUACUACUGAGAAGUCAACUUGAGACACUUAUUCUUUUAAAGAUAAUAUAUCUUUUUCUCUGGCUGCUUUUAAGAUUUUUCUCUUUGUCUCUGGUGUUGUACAGUUUUCAUGUGAUGUGUCUAGGUAUAGAUAUCUUUUCAUUUAUGCAGUUGGGGACAAAUUCUGAAAGAGCUAUAAUACUAGUUAUGACAUUUUUAUUUCUAGAGGUUUUCUGUUUGGUUCUUUCAUCAAAUUUGUAAUAUCAUUUUUAUAGUAUCCUAUUACUUAAAGUCAUUUUCAAACUUGUCUUCUACUUCUCUACAUAUAUUUCACAUGGUUGUUUUACAGGCUUUCUCCAAUAUUCCAAUAUCUGAAACAUUUGCAAGGCUUUUUCAUUUUGUUUUGUCUUUGUUUUUAUUGGUUCUUAUGCAUGUCAAUUUGUUUUCCUAUAGGCUUGGUUAUUUUUAGCAGUGCUAUGACCUUUCUACUUGAAAAAAAAAUGCAGGAAUGAUCUCAGGCUUUCUUCAUAGAAUACUUGGAUUUUCUUCUGUCGGGUGCCCAAAAGAAACAUCAAUCGAGAACCACCUGGUUUUGUCUUUUAUUGGAUUUCUCACCUUGUUUGAACCCUGGAGUUUUACCUCUGUAAUCCUCUUCUUACAUCAAAACAAUAGUUUAAAAGUGCAACAAUACCCUCAGAAGAAAAUAAGCUUCCAUGGUCAACUUUCCUUUCAAGAGUUCUGGUUUCUCUUUAGCUUCUCUAGUCAAUUCUUUUAUGUUUUGAUAACUUUUUAUCGGUUGUGCUGUAUAAUCUGGAAACAAAACCUUUGAGUGUGAUGAGACUAUGCAUUAUCCAACAUUACUAGGAUCAUAGAACUUUAAGGAUAUUUUAAAAUACAACCAGUUGAAUUUAAUUUUCUACAUGGUUUUAGCUGACUUGUAGCACCAGUUUAUGAGGUCUUUCUCCAGAUCUGAUAAAAUAUGAUUUAAAGUAAUAAAUGGUGGAAAAUGAAAGCAUUUGUACCAUUUGUAGUUGUGUGCAACCAAAUACUAUAAGGCACAUAUAUGCAUAUAACUCAAGAACAUUUUGUCUUGUAAAUUUGACUCUAAUUCUUUAUUUUUAAUGUCGCCAAGAUAUCUUAUUAUACAGCUUAAUUAUAUUUACUUAUUGCUAAUCAUUGACCAUUAUGUUUUCCAGUUUUUCACCAUAAUAACUAAUACCAUGUUGUAUUUGUUAGUAUAUGAAUCUAGGUGAGAAUCUAUAAUAUUUUGUAGUGAAAUUAGUUGACCAAAGAGUGUAAGCAUAUAUGGUUCUUGACAAGUGCUGCUAAAUUACCCUUCAAUAAAUAUAUAUUCUCCAGCCACAAGACCUGAGGUUUGUUUUAACAAUGCUAACUAACACUGAUGG
rnacentral:lncRNA from 1 species